GAGAAAAGAUAGUGUGAUUUAGACUAUGCACAUGAAAACCUUCAGAAGCAUCUUGGGAAACCUGAGAUAAGAUCAGAUGAAAAUUAAAUAAACAGAGAACACACUGAUAACACAAUGUGUUGCAAUCAAUCUAAAGUUCACAUCUUGCUUGAUCUAUGCAACCAUAAUGAAAUCAGCCCAAAGCUGAGGGCUCUUCCAUCAAUUUCAACUCUAUUUCACGCACUCCCCAGCCCCAGGCUCUGCCAGAGCUCUUGGAUCAACAUCUUAGAGAACACUAUGAUGCCUCUGCUUCUGUCCUCAAGGAUCCUGUGAGUCAGAGCUUCCAGGAGGAGACCCCUGCGUUCUUCAGCAAAUGGCCAGUCACUUCAGAUCCUGCAAGGACUUUCUAAGUACAAACGCCCUGACUGAGACAAGCAUGGGAGAGAGCCAUGGAUCAGCAGUCCCAACGCUCCAAGCUCCAGCAACCCUCCGUCCCAAAGCCCUGUGCUACCCUUGCUCCUUCAACUCUGCCUUCUAGCCACAGAUUGCAGCACCCGUUUCACUGCCACAGAGGGGAUAAUGAGAGCUUCAGUGGAUGCGACCAUCCCAAUCAGGACCUCCCAAAAAGAAAGUGGAGCAGACAAGACAGCCGGAGGAUGGAGGACGGGGGGCUGACGUCCCCACUUGCCAUUAGAUGUGCCGCUCUCCCAGAGACACCCAAAGCAAGGUAGGUGAGCCCCACCACGAGGCUGGCUGAAGCUUUGUGAGGUCUCAGUUGCGACUCAAAGUCUUCCUCCAUUCAGUUCUGCUUCCUCUCCCUUCAUUGGCCUAAAUUGCGCAUAAACUCCAUCUCAGCAUGUAGACAGCCCCACCUGCAACACGCAGGCCUUAGAAUAGGAUGUCUCCUCCCGUGUUCUCUCUCCCUUCU
rnacentral:lncRNA from 13 species